GCGGCAUGCUUUACACAUGCAAGUCGAACGGCAGCGCGGGGCAACCUGGCGGCGAGUGGCGAACGGGUGAGUAAUAUAUCGGAACGUACCCAGAAGUGGGGGAUAACGUAGCGAAAGUUACGCUAAUACCGCAUACGAUCUACGGAUGAAAGUGGGGGACCUUCGGGCCUCAUGCUUGUGGAGCGGCCGAUAUCUGAUUAGCUAGUUGGUGAGGUAAAGGCUCACCAAGGCGACGAUCAGUAGCUGGUCUGAGAGGACGACCAGCCACACUGGGACUGAGACACGGCCCAGACUCCUACGGGAGGCAGCAGUGGGGAAUUUUGGACAAUGGGCGCAAGCCUGAUCCAGCAAUGCCGCGUGAGUGAAGAAGGCCUUCGGGUUGUAAAGCUCUUUUGUCAGGGAAGAAACGGCCGAGGAUAAUACCUUUGGCUAAUGACGGUACCUGAAGAAUAAGCACCGGCUAACUACGUGCCAGCAGCCGCGGUAAUACGUAGGGUGCAAGCGUUAAUCGGAAUUACUGGGCGUAAAGCGUGCGCAGGCGGUUUUGUAAGUCUGACGUGAAAUCCCCGGGCUUAACCUGGGAAUUGCGUUGGAGACUGCAAGGCUAGAGUCUGGCAGAGGGGGGUAGAAUUCCACGUGUAGCAGUGAAAUGCGUAGAGAUGUGGAGGAACACCGAUG
rnacentral:rRNA from 1 species